ACAACAAGAAGUGCUUAACUGAAAAGGAGUGAGUGGAAUUUACUCGUUCAUUUACGAGAUUGUGGGAGUUUGCAACACAGCAAUAUACCAUUAUAACAUCGACAACCGCGAUCAAUGAAGAACUCAAGGAAAUUGGUCGUAAACGUCUUUAGCCAGAUAAUUGUUAUUUGGGCGCCAAUAUCUCAAUUCUCUCAAUUCUCCUUCAAUUGAUAUACCGUCUCCCACAUCCUUCAUUCGAAUUUCAAAGGCUCCUUUUUAUUAUUAUGGAAACUUGAACAAAUCAUCAAUUACAGAAGAUCUUUUGCAAAAAUAUGGAAGCUUUCCAAUUUUACCGCCUAUAUAUAGUUUACGGCUCUUAAUUCUAGGAUUGAAAGCACGAUUCCAGUCACCUGUUUUGUUUAAUCUUGAUCAUCCUUCGAAACUGAAGCAUCG
rnacentral:lncRNA from 1 species